rnacentral:rRNA from 1 species
UACAGAGGUCUCAAGCGUUGUUCGGAAUCACUGGGUGUAAAGGGUGCGUAGGCGGUCCGUUAAGUCUGAUGUGAAAGCCCUGGGCUCAACUCAGGAAUUGCAUUGGAAACUGGCGGGCUGGAGUACGGGAGAGGGAAGCGGAAUUCCUGGUGUAGCGGUGAAAUGCGUAGAUACCAGGAGGAACACCGGUGGCGAAGGCGGUUUCCUGGCCCAAUACUGACGCUGAGGCACGAAAGCGUGGGGAGCAAACAGG